rnacentral:tRNA from 1 species
AGGAUAAUAGUUAAAUUAACAUUUAAGUUGCAUUUAAAAAAUACUGAAUCCCAGUUUAUCUUA